UAGUUGUCCAGUUUUGCCAACACCAACUGUUGAAGAGACUGUCAUUUCCCCAUUGUAUGUCCAUGGCUCCUUUAUCGUAUAUUAAUUGACCAUAAAUGUUUGGGUUAAUGUCUGGAGUCUCUAUUCUGUUCCACUGGUCUGUGGCUCUUUUUUUGUGCCAGUACCAAAUUGUCUUGAUUACUGUGACUUUGUAGUAGAGCUUGAAGUUGGGGAGCGAGAUCCCCCCCACUUUAUUCUUCCUUCUCAGGAUUGCUUUGGUUAAUUUGAUAGGGAUUGCAUUGGAUCUGUAGAUUGCUGUGGGCAGGAUGGCCAUUUUGACAAUAUUAAUUCUUCCUAACCAAGAGCAUGGGAUGAGUUUCCAUUUGUUAGUGUCCUCUUUAAUUUCUCUUAUGAGUGUCUUGUAGUUUUCAGGGUAUAGGUUUUUCACUUACUUGGUUAGGUUUAUUCCUACGUAUUUUAUUCUUCUUGAUGCAAUUGUGAAUGGACUUGUUUUCCUGAUUUCUCUUUCUAUUAGUUCAUUGUUAGUGUAUAGGAUAGCCACAGAUUUCUGUGUAUUAAUUUUGUAUCCUGCAACUUUGCUGAAUUCCAAUAUUAGUUCUAGUAGUUUUGGAGUGGAGUCUUUAGGGUUUUUUUAUGUAGAAUAUCAUUCCUCUACUAUAAAUUUAAUGCUGUGCUCUGGGGUGUAACUGAGGAUCAGUUAAUCCUGUCAGGUUAUGGGGUAUUGACCCACAGAAGGGGAAAAAAAUGAACCCUCUGAGGGAGCUGGCGUCUAGGGAGGUUGUUUUAUAAGCUUUUCUGUCUUUACAGCCAUUAGAAAUAGAAAACUGUACUCAUAACAGAAAACACCCAGAGUCACUAUACCUGAAGAACUAGUUCACAUAAAGGAUUUUCCCUGCUAAUCUUAAAUUUAGAAAUGGGAAGACAAGGUGAGACUCUUACCACUCUCACUUUGAUUGGAAGCUGUAGUAGAGCUCUGGGAGACUGGUAAGAAUUCUUACCUUGUGCCCACUAUGUCAGAGGUCCCAGGAUCUCUCAGCUGCUGCAGCCCUGGAAUGAGCAGUGGACAACCAGUGGCAUUCCAUCCAUUUCACCGGAACUGUUAGAUGAGAAAAAAAUUCUCUUCUACCCUCUUUGGGUGUCCAGUGCAGCCUAAAAAUUCAACUGACAGUGGUAGACUAGAAAAGAACCUGAUCUUAAGUGACAUUGAAGCUUUACAAAAACUAGAGGUGGCAAGUAAACUAUUGCCCAUCCCAGAGAUGGAAACAUUCUUCUGAAUGGCAAGAUUGGAGCAAUGACUUCUAAUUAUUGAAUGAGGAGUGAUAAAAAUUAUUGAAAUUUUUAGAGUAGAAGUAGCCUGACAUAAAUCGAAAAUGUUCUGAAAUUGUUUUAAACUUUGGCGAAGAGUCACAUGCUCAUCUGUGAGAGGAUGUUGGUACGAUAGCCUGGUAUUUUGAGUCAGAAAGGUCUGUCACAUUUGGGAGAGUAUUAAUGCAAAAAGGGAGGAGUAAUUUAGACUAAAUUCUAUUGAAAGAUCCUCCUCAGACUUUCUUUACCCCUGUAAAAUCCCAUUGAUUCUUGGUUACUCUGCAUGAUGGACAGAAAUGAAUGUGGAGUAUAUUGUGGAAUUUGCUAUGCCCCUAAAUUAAAAGCAAUUUAAUUCCAAAGAAAACACUUUAAUGAAAUCCAGGUACAUUGUUGAUAAUGCAGGAGCUCAGCAUUUUUCCUAACCCCUUAAAGCUUUCUACCUCAUGUGUUCAAGUAAAAAAUAUGCACUAGGAACUAAAGAUUGAAUUAUUUACUGCAACCAUGAUCCAACACAUUCAUAAUGCUGUCUACAUGAUUAAUCUGAGUGAGACUGGGGUGGAGAAGAUAGUGUAUGAGAAUGCCAUAAUAAUCAGGCCAAAGAUGGGUAAGUAUUUUUAAGAAGACAUUACAAGUCUUCUGAAGUUCAAGUGUAGUAAGUUCUCAAGAGGGAGGUGAUCAAUUUGGGUAUAAUCUAAGGUGAUAAUGCAGAUUUCUUCAGGCAGCUGUAGUAUGCCUAAAUUUCUUUAAUAUGUCCAUAUGAUAAAGCAUUCUCAUGAUCGUCCUAGGAAUUAAACUAAUAGAGUAACCUCUCCAACAGCAAAAAACUUUGCUAUUGUAAUUUUCAUCUGUAAACAUGUGUUUGUCUUAAGUCAUCCCUUUUUCAUCUUCACUCCAUUUUUUCCUCCUUUCCAGAUUGAAUGAGUGUCCCAACAAUAUCCCUGUUGAUUGGUACAGAAAGUUAUUUGUCAAUCUUCUGGGAAAUUUUAUCCUCUUUUUUUCUCUUCCAUCAUUACUGCUAUACUUACCUGUGAUACUUCAUUUGAGAGUAUUACAGUCAUCGUAACUAAUUAUUGUUUAUUGUAGCAUUUCUUUUAUCUUCACCUUGGCCUUCAGCAGCUCUCACCCAUAUAUCCCACUAUUAAUCUGUCUCCACCCUACUUCAGCCAACCUCGUGCCCCGUAAACACCCGUUGCUCCAGCCAGAUUGCUUUCUUCCAUCUUCCUCAUGGAAACUAUUGUCCUCUUGGCCUGUGGGCUUUGGUGCAUGUUGUUCUCAUUAAACUAUAAAGCUUCCCCACCUAUCCUAAUCCUUCUCAGUCUUUUGCAAUUCAAGUGCCACCUUCACGAAGUUUCCCUCACUGAAGUUCACACUGAUCUCUCCAUUCUCAGUAUUUCUAACUUAACAGUUGCAAAAACUUUACCUUUAGCUUGUCUCCAACUACUUCACAUGUCAUGCUUUCCGUCUUGGAGAAAGGAUUAUCUUCUCAAGAUCAAGGUUCCAGCUUGGUUGUUUACUGCUCUAAGAUGCCUGUCCUGAAUUACUGAGAGUAGAUCAGAGCUUACAACAGACCCAGGAAAGCACAUGGAUCAGUGGCAGGAGAGGACCUCAACUGAAAAGGCCCGUUGGUACUGCAGAGCCACAGCCCAGAAGCCCUCACAGGAGGCAGGCACAGUGCUCCCAGAUCCACAUGCGGCUGGCUGGGGUGCAGCCUGCAGAGGCGGUCAGUUCUCCUUGGGCAGUGGUGGUCCUGAAGCAGAUGAUCCUCUUGAUGCGGCAUCAUAAGGUCAACAGUAGCCUAACACUACGUCACAGAGUCUACGUCAUUUGACGCAUGUCAUCUCAUCGCCAUCUCAUCGCCAUCUCAUCAUUUUAUUAUCUCACGCCAUCACAAGAAGGGUGAGUACAGUACCAUGAGAUAUUUGAGAGAAAGAGAGCACAUUUACAUAUCUUCUAUUACAGCAUAUUGUUGAUAUUGUUCUGUUUUAUUAUUGUUGUUGUUAAUCUCUUACUGUGCCUAAUGUAUAAAUGAAACUUUAUUAUAAGUCUGUAUGUAUAGGAAAAAACUGUAUUUACAGGGUUUGGUACUAUCUAUGGUUUCAAGUAUCCACUGGGGCUCUUAAAAUUCUCCCAUGGAUAAGGGGGUACUAUGCUAUUAGGAAUAAAGCUGUUAUGAGAUUCUGUAUGAAGUUCUUUUUUUGUGUGUCAGUAUAGUUUUGAUUUUCAUUUUUUCUUAUGAUUGAGGUUUCUGAGAACCUUUUCAAAUGAGCAAGAGACAUUAACAUUUCUUUUUCUAUCAACUUUCUGUUCAAAUCGUUGGCCCAUUUUUCUAGGAUUUUUUCCUUUUGCCUUUUUCUUCUCUAUUUUUCACAAGUUCUUAAUACUAGGGAUAUUAACUAUCUAUCAGAUAUAAACUGAAAAUAUUUUUACCAGUUUCUCAUUGUCUGUUAGUUUGCUUAGUGUCUUUUGCCAUGCAACAGUUUUAUUUUUUCAUUUUUAUGUAAUCAAAUGUAUCAAUAUUUUCCUUUAUUGUU